GACGAACGCUGGCGGCGUGCUUAACACAUGCAAGUCGAACGGAAAGGCCCUGCUUUUGUGGUGUGCUCGAGUGGCGAACGGGUGAGUAACACGUGAGUAACCUGCCCUUGACUUUGGGAUAACUUCAGGAAACUGGGGCUAAUACCGGAUAGGAGCUCCUGCUGCAUGGUGGGGGUUGGAAAGUUUCGGCGGUUGGGGAUGGACUCGCGGCUUAUGAGCUUGUUGGUGGGGUAGUGACUUACCAAGGCUUUGACGGGUAGCCGGCCUGAGAGGGUGACCGGCCACAUUGGGACUGAGAUACGGCCCAGACUGCUACGGGAGGCAGCAGUGGGGAAUAUUGCACAAUGGGCGGAAGCCUGAUGCAGCAACGCCGCGUGCGGGAUGACGGCCUUCGGGUUGUAAACCGCUUUCGCCUGUGACGAAGCGUGAGUAACGGUAAUGGGUAAAGAAGCACCGGCUAACUACGUG
rnacentral:rRNA from 1 species